rnacentral:rRNA from 1 species
GUCCAGACUCCUACGGGAGGCAGCAGUGGGGGAUAUUGCACAAUGGGGGAAACCCUGAUGCAGCGACGCCGCGUGAGUGAAGAAGUAAUUCGUUACGUAAGGCUCUAUCAGCAGGGAAGAAAAUGACGGUACCUGACUAAGAAGCACCGGCUAAAUACGUGCCAGCAGCCGCGGUAAUACGUAUGGUGCAAGCGUUAUCCGGAUUUACUGGGCGUAAAGGGAGCGCAGGCGGCGCGCCAAGUCUGAUGUGAAACCCCGGGGCUCAACCCCGGGCAUGCAUUGGAAACUGGCGGGCUGGAGUGCCGGAGAGGUAGGCGGAAUUCCUAGUGUAGCGGUGAAAUGCGUAGAUAUUAGGAGGAACACCAGUGGCGAAGGCGGCUUACUGGACGGCAACUGACGCUGAGGCUCGAAAGCGUGGGGAGCAAACAGGAUUAGAUACCCCUGUA